rnacentral:rRNA from 1 species
UACAGAGGGGGCAAGCGUUGUUCGGAAUUACUGGGCGUAAAGGGCGCGUAGGCGGCCUGCUAAGUCGAACGUGAAAUCCCCGAGCUCAACUCGGGAACUGCGUCCGAUACUGGCAGGCUUGAAUCCGGGAGAGGGAUGCGGAAUUCCAGGUGUAGCGGUGAAAUGCGUAGAUAUCUGGAGGAACACCGGUGGCGAAGGCGGCAUCCUGGACCGGCAUUGACGCUGAGGCGCGAAAAGCCAGGGGGAGCAAACGGG